rnacentral:snoRNA from 7 species
AGGACCUAUGAUGAGAUCUGGUGGCAUCUGACUGUAUCUCGAUGACAGCCAUGAGAACAGAUGUCUGAGGUCAGG